AAUCCAUAGGUUAAUGAGGCGAACCGGGGGAACUGAAACAUCUAAGUACCCCGAGGAAAAGAAAUCAACCGAGAUUCCCCCAGUAGCGGCGAGCGAACGGGGAGGAGCCCAGAGCCUGAAUCAGCAUGUGUGUUAGUGGAAGCGUCUGGAAAGGCGCGCGAUACAGGGUGACAGCCCCGUACACAAAAGCGCAUGUGCUGUGAGCUCGAUGAGUAGGGCGGGACACGUGGUAUCCUGUCUGAAUAUGGGGGGACCAUCCUCCAAGGCUAAAUACUCCUGACUGACCGAUAGUGAACCAGUACCGUGAGGGAAAGGCGAAAAGAACCCCGGCGAGGGGAGUGAAAAAGAACCUGAAACCGUGUACGUACAAGCAGUGGGAGCACAGGUUUACCUGUGUGACUGCGUACCUUUUGUAUAAUGGGUCAGCGACUUAUAUUCUGUAGCAAGGUUAACCGUAUAGGGGAGCCGCAGGGAAACCGAGUCUUAACCGGGCGUUAAGUUGCAGGGUAUAGACCCGAAACCCGGUGAUCUAGCCAUGGGCAGGUUGAAGGUUGGGUAACACUAACUGGAGGACCGAACCGACUAAUGUUGAAAAAUUAGCGGAUGACCUGUGGCUGGGGGUGAAAGGCCAAUCAAACCGGGAGAUAGCUGGUUCUCCCCGAAAGCUAUUUAGGUAGCGCCUCGUGAAUUCAUCUCCGGGGGUAGAGCACUGUUUCGGCUAGGGGGCCAUCCCGGCUUACCAACCCGAUGCAAACUGCGAAUACCGGAGAAUGUUAUCACGGGAGACACACGGCGGGUGCUAACGUCCGUCGUGAAGAGGGAAACAACCCAGACCGCCAGCUAAGGUCCCAAAGUCAUGGUUAAGUGGGAAACGAUGUGGGAAGGCCCAGACAGCCAGGAUGUUGGCUUAGAAGCAGCCAUCAUUUAAAGAAAGCGUAAUAGCUCACUGGUCGAGUCGGCCUGCGCGGAAGAUGUAACGGGGCUAAACCAUGCACCGAAGCUGCGGCAGCGACACUCAGGUGUUGUUGGGUAGGGGAGCGUUCUGUAAGCCUG
rnacentral:rRNA from 1 species